rnacentral:rRNA from 1 species
UGGGUAUAAUACCCGAUAGGUCUCGAUUGCUGGAAUGCAUCGAGAUUUAAAGCUCCGGCGCCUAAGGAUGGGUCUGCGGCCUAUCAGGUAGUAGUGGGUGUAGCGUACCUACUAGCCUACGACGGGUACGGGUUGUGAGAGCAAGAGCCCGGAGAUGGAUUCUGAGACACGAAUCCAGGCCCUACGGGGUGCAGCAGGCGCGAAAACUUUACAAUGCUGGCAACCGCGAUAGGGAACCUCGAGUGCCAGGUUACAAAUCUGGCUGUCGAGAUGCCUAAAAAGCAUUUCAUAGCAAGGGCCGGGCAAGACCGGUGCCAGCCGCCGCGUAACACCGGCGGCUCGAGUGGUAACCGUUAUUAUUGGGUCUAAAGGGUCUGUAGCGGCCGGAUAAGUCUCUUGAGAAAUCUGGCAGCUUAACUGUCAGGCUUUCAGGAGAUACUGUCUGGCUCGAGGCCGGGAGAGGUGAGAGGUACUUCAGGGGUAGGGGUGAAAUCUUGUAAUCCUUGAGGACCACAGUGGCCAAGCGUCUCACCAGAACGGACCUGACGGCAGGACGAGCUAGGGCACGACCGGAUUAAAUACCCGGGUAGUCCUAGCCGUAAACGAUACUCGCUAGGUGUCGGCCACGGUGCGACCGUUGUCGGUGCCGUAGGGAAGCCGUGAAGCGAGCCACCUGGGAAGUACGGCCGCAAGGCUGAAACUUAAAGGAAUUGGCGGGGG